UUUGACAAUGACGAGUUGCACUAACAGUGGGGUGCUGAUUGCUGUGUGACAGCACACCGCUCUGACCACCUGAGGAGACACCAACGGUGCACAGGGGCCAUCUGAGUCAAA